GUGAACAAUUUUGACACUGUAGAGAUUUGUUCCAAUUCUGAAAGAAGUGAAAAGUCGACUCUCCAACCCUUUGUGAAAUACGCUUCUGAACCUAAUUAUAGUGAUUUAUGUUCCAAAUCUGCACAGGGGUAACAGAUCUGUGCUUGCUGGGCUCUUUCCAGGACUUCGUUGAGUUUAGAACUAGUGAAGAACUGGACGCGAUCUUCCUUCCUUUCCCAAUUCGUUUUGUACCAAAGCUGUUAAAGUCCAGAGGAACAGGGACCUUAAUUAACCAUACAUCCACCAAUUCACCACCAACUCGGAUCGCAUGUUGCUUUCCAUUCAGCCCACUGGGAAAAAGUGUAUUUUGCAGCCAGAUGUCCAGAUUGGAACACUGAAGGAUUACUACCACUUCUACCAUAGUAAAACAAUUAAAAGGUCAGUUCUCUCAAGUAGAGGUACCCACAGCUUCAUUUCAAUGGAACCAAAGGUGGAGUGGAUACAACAGCAGGUGGUUAAAAGAAGGAUAAAGAGAGAUUAUAAACCUGGUGGUACCCAAUCCACUUAUUUCAAUGAUCCCAAGUGGCCAAGCAUGUGGUACAUGCACUGCAGUGAUAACACCCAUCAUUGCCAAUCAGAUAUGAAUAUAGUAGGUGCUUGGAAGAGAGGCUACACUGGAAAGAACGUUGUGGUCACCAUCCUGGAUGACGGCAUUGAAAGAAACCAUCCUGACUUGAUGCAGAAUUAUGAUUCACAGGCCAGUUUUGAUGUCAAUGGAAAUGAUUUUGACCCCAUGCCUCGGUAUGAUGCCAGCAACGAGAACAAGAAGCAUGGUCCAGUGCAAGUGGCAGCCACGGCAAACAACUCACACUGCACUGUAGGGAUCGCCUUUAAUGCCAAGAUUGGAGGCGUACGGAUGCUGGAUGGGGACGUGACAGACAUGGUCGAGGCAAAGUCCCUGAGCCUUAAUCCGCAGCAUAUCCACAUCUACAGCGCCAGCUGGGGGCCUGAUGAUGAUGGUAAGACUGUGGACGGACCUGCUUCUCUAGCGCGUCAGGCCUUUGAGAACGGCAUCAGAAUGGGACGAAGAGGCUUAGGCUCAGUUUUUGUUUGGGCAUCUGGAAAUGGUGGAAGGAGUCGAGACCAUUGCUCCUGUGAUGGCUACACCAAUAGCAUAUACACUAUCUCCAUAAGCAGCACAGCUGAAAGUGGGAAGAAGCCCUGGUAUCUGGAAGAAUGUGCAUCCACGCUAGCUACGACAUACAGCAGCGGGGAAUCCUACGACAGGAAAAUAAUCACCACAGACCUGAGGCAGCGUUGCACAGACAGCCAUACGGGAACCUCAGCCUCUGCACCUAUGGCUGCAGGCAUCAUUGCACUGGCACUGGAAGCAAAUCCAUUUCUGACCUGGAGAGACAUACAGCAUAUUAUUGUAAGGACUUCACGUGCGGGACAUCUGAAUGCUAACGACUGGAAAACCAAUGCAGCUGGUUAUAAGGUGAGCCACCUCUAUGGAUUUGGACUGAUGGAUGCUGAAGCAAUGGUGAUAGAAGCAGAAAAGUGGACAACAGUCCCUCCACAGCAUGUGUGUGUGGAGAACACGGAUCGGCAAAUCAAAACAAUACGACCUGACAGCGUUGUCCGUUCAAUUUACAAAGCCACCGGCUGCUCAGAUAACCCCAACCACCACGUGAUCUACUUGGAGCAUGUGGUUGUGCGCAUCACUAUUACUCACCCUCGACGUGGAGACUUGGCAAUUUACCUAACCUCUCCUUCGGGAACUAGGUCACAGCUAUUGGCCAACAGGUUAUUUGAUCAUUCCAUGGAAGGAUUUAAAAACUGGGAGUUUAUGACUACUCACUGCUGGAGUGAAAAAGCAGCAGGUGACUGGAUCUUGGAAAUCUGUGACACUCCCUCUCAGCUGAGAAAUUUCAAGACUCCAGGUAAAUUGAAAGAAUGGUCCUUAGUACUGUAUGGAACAUCUGUCCAGCCUUACUCACCAAGAAAUGAUUUUCCAAAAGUGGAACGAGUGCGCUCUAGUCCAGUUGAAGAAACUACAGAAGAUUAUGGAACAGAUGACUAUUCAGGUCCCUGCAAUGCAGAAUGCAGUAAAGUAGGGUGUGAUGGGCCAGGACCAGAACACUGUACUGACUGUCUGCACUACUACUACAAAUCUAAGAACAACACACGGAUCUGUGUUUCGAACUGCCCACCUGGUCACUAUAAUGCAGACAAGAAACGCUGUAAAAAAUGCUCACCCAAUUGUGAAACCUGUGUUGGAGGCCACAGUGACCAGUGCAUGACCUGUAAAUUGGGCUACUACCUGAAUGAAGUAACCAAUAGCUGUAUUACCAGCUGCCCAGAUGAGUUUUACCUGGAUAAGAGUAAGAUUGUUUGUCGAAAAUGCAGUGAAAACUGUAAGACAUGUGUUGAAUUCCAAAUCUGCACAGAAUGCAAACACGGCCUAAGUUUACAUGGCUCCAAAUGUGCUAUCCACUGUGAAGAAGGAAAAUACCAUAAUGGUAGGGAAUGUGAACCGUGUCACCGUUCCUGUGCAACAUGUGCAGGUGCUGGAGUAGAUUCUUGUAUAAACUGCACACAGGGCUAUUUUAUGGAAGAUGGAAGAUGUGUGCAAUCCUGUAGUAGUGGUUAUUACCUUGAUCACUCUACUGAAAGUGGAUAUAAAACCUGCAAAAGAUGUGACGCCAGCUGCGUGGAAUGCAGCGGCCAGGGAGACCGAAACUGCACAAGCUGUCCAAGUGGCUAUAAUCUAGACACUGGUGUCUGUAUAGUGGGAACGGUCUGCAAGGAUGCCACGGAAGAGUCUUGGGCCGAGGGCGGAUUCUGUAUGCUGGUGAAAAAGAACAAUCUCUGCCAGCGGAAAGUGCUUCAGCAACUGUGUUGCAGAACAUGUACGCACAAGGGGUGAGCUGACACCUCCCAGAGUCCUCUUGCUCCUGUAGACUUAUAGAUUAAUCCAUAUUAUUGAAAAAGGAAAAAAAAUCAAAAAAAAAAAAAGCAAGCCACCUCUCUCUCUCUCUCUCCCUCCUCUUUGUCUGGGGAGAUGGUGAACUGUUUGUUGGGACUUAAAUGGAAAAAACUACAACACACCUACCUUUCAUAACUGGGUGUUUAGAGCUAAGCAUCCAGGAUCACAGAGUCAAUAUUGUGUGACCAAAGCAUUUGAUGCCAAAAUUAACAUUUAACUCAUGAUUUGAUUUCCUGUCAACCUUAGGAUUAUUCCUGUUUUUUGAAGGUCCUUUUUCUUCCCUUUUUUUCCUGCUUGUUUCCCCUUCAAGAUGUUUAAAGAGUGUUUCAAGAAUACACCACACGUUUACAUGGAUUAAAACUAAACAAUACAAAAAUGUUUGCAUCAGUCUUUUUUGUGCUAUGUAUAGAGAUAGGAGCAACUUGAGGAAAUGAGUCCCUGAGGGAAUCAGAAACAUCAGCUGCAGGACUAAGUUCUGCACCUUUUGUAACAGUAUUAAAAAAAAAAAAAAGAAGAGUGAUCAUUUCUGCACACAUUUCUUUCUUACUUCCUCUGCUGUGUGCUGUUUUAUGUAUCACAUGCAGUAUGUAUAUAUGUUUUGCCCAAAAUGUUUUUUUGGUCAUAUAGAUCUCAUUUUUAGACAGCUAGCUUAUUAACAGAUAUGCUGGGAUUUUUAUUUUAUUUUUUUAAAUUGUCAAAACUAUUUCAAAUAAACUUUAAAAGAAUACCA
ensembl:lncRNA proprotein convertase subtilisin/kexin type 5